ensembl:snoRNA
CCCCUUUGUGUUCCCAUUCACUUUGGAAACUAGUGGAUAUGGUGUCAAAAAAGGCAUAAAUUAAACACUUUGCAGCCUUUUCCUGCCCUUAAACUUGGUAUCUUUGGUGUAGGGGCUGCAUAAGUAAUAGUC